rnacentral:rRNA from 1 species
UGGGAAUUUUCCGCAAUGGGCCAACCCUGACGAAGCAAUGCCCGCGUGAAUGAAGAAGGCCCUCCGGUUGUAAAGGUCCUCUCGUGAGGACGAAAAGGUGGGUCCUAAUACAAUCUGCUAUUGACGUGAAUCCAAGAAGAAGCACCGGCUAACUCCGUGCCAGCAGCCGCGGUAAUACGGGGGUUGCAAGCGUUAAUCGGAAUCACUGGCGUAAAGGGUGCGUAGGCGGUACGUUAGGUCUGUCGUGAAAUCCCCGGCUCAACCUGGAAUGGCGGUAGAAACCGGCGCACUAGAGUAUGGGAGAGGGUGGUGGAAUUCCCAGGUGUAGCGGUGAAAUGCGUAGAUAUCUGGAGGAACAUCAGUGGCGAAGGCGGCCACCUGGCCCAAUACUGACGCUGAGGCACGAAAGCGUGGGGAGCAAACA